rnacentral:lncRNA from 1 species
GAGGAAAAAAGUGAGUGUUAACUGUGGGUGUGUUGCAAAAUUCCUACUUUGAUGCUGAGCCCACAGACCAGCAUAACAGUAUAAUCUCUCUCUCCUCUCUCUCUCUCACAUGCACGCACGCACACACACACACACACACACACAGAAAAAAACCCAUAUUCCCACUUGAAGGCAGUUAGGCAGGAAGAAUUCCCUCUUAUUCAAGCUUUUGUUCUAUU